GAUUGCUACGGAGAAAGGAGAGACAGAUCGAGAGAAAAGAGAGAUAGAGAGAAGGGUGCCUCUGCCAUCACUGUAAGGGCGCCACCCAGAUCUUCUGCCAUCACCGUAAGCCUCCACUCACUCCCCAACUAUCGGAAUAGCUAGAAAUAGAGAGAGGCGAUGAAACAGAGAGAGGCCGAGAAAGAGAGAGGUGAUGAAAUAGAGAGAGGAUGAGGCCUGGGACACGGAGAAAGAAAUAGAGAAAGAGGCAGAACGUCGGUUCUGUCAUUGUUUUUUCUACAGUUUGGCGUGGACUACAAAAAAGCAUAGGCGUAGGGGAGAUGGAGAGACAUCUCAGGCCAGCAUCACUGUCGGACUCUAACCACCAAAAAAUUUGCAUCCCUUAACCGGCGGUACACUGUUACAGGUGGGUAUUCUUUGCUUAGGGAUCCGUAGUACAACAAAGGACUUACCAAUGCUUUGGUCAUUCAGUUGACUCCUUGCUGCUACUCUGUACUUGCUGUCAUACUAGCAAAAACAGGGUUUCAGCUAGUUUUACAUAUUAUUGGAUUUGAACCAAUGACUCUUGCCGUAUGAAAGUGAACUGCUGAGUCACAUAAGUCAAGCUGAGUCAAAUCAGAGAAAAUAGACUCCUAUAAGAGAGCCGUUUGAGAAGAUGCUAUAUGGGAUGGAUGUCGUCUACAAGAGUGACGUAGAAGGAUAUAUUUAGUUAUUGUUUUGGGAUGUUAUUCUAUUUGGUCGAAGAGAACUUUAAAUCCUCUAUUAUUGUUGAGAUUUGUAGAUUGUACAUAUUUGUUUUACUGUGGUUAAAUAAAUGUUAAUUGAUGCAUUUUCUUAGAGAUUAUUAUUA